rnacentral:misc_RNA from 1 species
AGGCGAAGUCCCGGGAGCUGC